GUAAAGUACUAGAGUGUUUAAUUCUAAGUAGAUAUUAUUUAUCUUAUCAUUUAUAUUCUUAAAAUACUAAUUAUCUCUCAUGUACUGAAAGACUGACUAUAAACGUGUUGUGAACCUACCCUAUCCCUACUUCAAAUUUCUCAAUUUUAACUGAGUUUCUCAAUUUAAAGAUGUGAAUUUGGAUGGUAUUGUACCUAUCUAUUUUCCUGAUAUUAAACUCGUUAAGUGGACGAAUACAUAAAUGGCCUGUUUUCAAAAGAAGCCCUUGAACAGCCUUGUGAUGAAAAAUUACCUGAGGGAAUGAGAAUGCCUGCAUGGUUUGACGAGAAACAAUAUAAUAAAGCACGUCGCUUCUACUGGGAACAAUGUUUUCAGUUCACCUUGUCCAUGAUACUGGGUCUCGUAGCAGUCUUCGCCGUGCCUUCGAUCCUGCAAGUGCUCAUUAGCUCCCGUCCCUCAAACUCUACUUUCACAGCGUACAGAAGAUACGUAUCCACGCUACUGCACACUGUUUCUUGGUUCGAACAUGAUUUGGAACCUGGGAGUGUGUAAGUUAUCGGGGAAAAUUUGUCAAUCACAGAUUACCGGAAUAACAGGCUUUCAAUAACA